rnacentral:tRNA from 1 species
UCCCUGGCGGUCCAGUGGCUAAGACUCUGCACUCCCAAUGCAGAGGGCCGAGGUUCGAUCCCUGAUUAGGGAA